AAUGAUAUGCCUGAUUAAAGGAUUAUUAUGAUAUAAUAAAUUAAGUAAAUUUUUAUUUACUAUCAUUU
rnacentral:tRNA from 1 species